UUAAACAAACAAAGAAACAAAAACCACAGGCUAAUCAUUAAUCCUCUCUGCUUUCUUCCUCCUUCUUCUGGGAACAGUUUGCCUGGGUUCUGGAAUCCACAUUGCCAACCUCUAUGCAUGGCACACAUUUGUAGAACUUAGACUGGCUCAAUGACAGUUUGCAAGCGAGGUCAGCGAACUUCUUUGGGGUAGGAUGAACCAUUCACUUUUAGGGCUCUCUGGUCCACGACAGAAAGAUCAGAGUGAAGCUGUCCUGUCACCUUUGCCCCAAGGUGAGGCCUGUUGCUUGCUGCUCUGCACAACUGCUUGGAACUCGUUAGCAGAAAUCUGACCUCUAAGAAGACAAUCCUUAGACAUUCCUGGAAGCUGGCUACCUUUAGAAAACAGACAAGCUGUAAAGCCUGUCGGAAGGGUGAUGGAAGCGCUCACUCGGCCUUUGGACUUCAGGAAGCGUGCACCUUUGUAUGCUGGAAGGAGGCUCGCUUGGUAGAAGCUGGAUGCCUGCCUUGUAGUUUGGUUUAUUAUAGAAAACUACUCAUUUUGUGCCUCAAGAUAGCCUGGAACUCCAACUCACACAUGAUGACGACAGUGUGAAUUGGCUCACAGUUUGGAUGGCCAUGAACUUGUGAGGAUACCUGUAUGCUGCGCGUUCAAGUGCUGGAAGCACAUAUGCAUUCCAAGACCGUUUCCUGAGUUAGCGCCCUUCCCACAUGGGCUGGGUCCAGAAAUUCUGUGUGAGGACCACAAGCCUCGGACCUGAACUUCUAUUUGUCCAUCCUUACCAAGCAAGUAUUAUGGGCCACUCCUG